ACUAAAUGCUAUCUUUUUGUUUUUAAUGAUUUUGCACACUUCUGCUGAGUACCACAGUGGUCUCUUCCUUUUUUUGCUUUUACCGACAAGCCUAAUGCAAUUAUCGAUUGCCUUCAAUCGUGCCAAUUUUAAGUAGUCCUAUUUCUCCUGGACUCCAUUGAAACUGUUAUAAUCUGAUAGGGACUCGUAUACCACUAAUCUAAUUUUAGAAAAGUCAGUUUUUCUAAAAUCUAAAACUUUUGUUUUUCCAGCUAAGACACCACA